rnacentral:rRNA from 1 species
CGUGUCGUGAGAUGUUGGGUUAAGUCCCGCAACGAGCGCAACCCUUAUCUUUAAUUGCCAUCAUUCAGUUGGGCACUUUAGGAGAGACUGCCGGUGUUAAACCGGAGGAAGGUGGGAUGACGUCAAGUCCUCAUGGCCUUUAUGCUUAGGGCUACACACGUGCUACAAUGGGUAGUACAAAGAGGAGCCAACUCGCGAGAGGUGCGCAAACUACUCCAAAAAGCUAUCCUAAGUUCGGAUUGAAGUCUGCAACUCGACUUCAUGAAGCUGGAAUCGCUAGUAAUCGCGGAUCAGCAUGCCGCGGUGAAUACGUUCCCGGGCCUU